rnacentral:lncRNA from 1 species
CCUUCCUACCCAAAGCAUUCUAUAAUUCUGUGAUUCUAACUUAACUUUCCUUUUUUUUUUAACUACCUCAGUUGCAAGAUGACUUGGAGGUGCAAAGCCACAAGCUGUUGUAUGUUUUUCUGCCUAAUUUGAACACAAGUCAGGAUGGACAGCAGUCAUGCCUGAAACCCUCCCUCCUACUCAAAAGCCAGAUGUGAACCGUGGACAAAAGGGGCUGAGAAUGGGCAAGUAUUCUGAGAAGUCUGAGAUGAGGUGUUUGCCAGUUGUCCUCUAA